AUUGAACGCUGGCGGAAUGCUUUACACAUGCAAGUCAAACGGCAGCACGGGGGCAACCCUGGUGGCGAGUGGCGAACGGGUGAGUAAUGUAUCGAAACGUACCCCGUCGUGGGGGAUAACUCUCCAAAAGGAGAGCUAAUACCGCAUACAACCUGAGGGUGAAAGCGGGGGACCUGCAAGGGCCUCGCGCGAUGGGAGCGGCCAAUAUCGGAUUACCUAGUUGGUGAGGUAAAGGCUCACCAAGGCGACAAUCCGUAGCGGGUCUGAAAGGACAACCCGCCACACUGGAACUGAAACACGGUCCAAACUCCUACGGGAGGCAGCAGUGGGGAAUUUUGGACAAUGGGGGAAACCCUGAUCCAGCCAUUCCGCGUGAGUGAAGAAGGCCUUCGGGUUGUAAAGCUCUUUCAGCAGGAACGAAACGGUAGGCUUUAAUACAGUUUGCUAAUGACGGUACCUGCAGAAGAAGCACCGGCUAACUACGUG
rnacentral:rRNA from 1 species